rnacentral:rRNA from 1 species
AGAAAGGUGAGAAUCCUUUCGGCCGAAUAUCCAAGGUUUCCAGGGUAAAGCUGAUCUGCCCUGGGUAAGUCGGGGCCUAAGGCGAGGCAGAAAUGCGUAGUCGAUGGACAGCAGGUUGAGAUUCCUGCACCCGUAAUGAACAGAACUGUAGUGACACGGAAGGUAGGACAGAGCCGGGAAUGAGAAAACCGGUGCAAGCACAAUAGAUGUGCGGGAGGAAAAACCCCCGUAUAAGUCGAAGGUGUGAUGCGGACCGAAAAAGAGUAGGGAAGCUGUUAAGCAAGCCGUCAAGAAAAGCUGCUAUUGUUUCAUUAUGGCCCGUACCGUAAACCGACACAGGUGGAUGGGGAGAGAAUCCUAAGGCCGGCGGAAGAAGUAUUGUUAAGGAACUCGGCAAAAUGACCCCGUGACUUCGGGAGAAGGGGUGCCUGCGAGAGCAGGCCGCAGAGAAGAGGCCCAAGCAACUGUUUAGCAAAAACACAGGUCUAUGCAAAACCGAAAGGUGAGGUAUAUGGGCUGACGCCUGCCCGGUGCUGGAAGGUUAAGGGGAGUGGUCAGGAAACGAAGCCACGAACUUAAGCCCCAGUAAACGGCGGCCGUAACUAUAACGGUCCUAAGGUAGCGAAAUUCCUUGUCGGGUAAGAUCCGACCCGCACGAAAGGCGUAAUGAUUUGGGCGCUGUCUCGACAAUACAUCCGGUGAAAUUGAAGUGCCAGUGAAGAUGCUGGCUACCUGCGCCAGGACGGAAAGACCCCAUGGAGCUUUACUCCAGCUUGAUACUGGGACCCGGUAUUGCAUGUACAGGAUAGGUGGGAGGCUAGGAAAUGUGGACGCCAGUCUGCAUGGAGCCGCUGUUGGGAUACCACCCUUGUGGUGCUGGGUUUCUAACCAGAGGCCGUGAACCGGUCUGGGGACAAUGUCAGGUGGGGAGUUUGACUGGGGCGGUCGCCUCCGAAAGGGUAUCGGAGGCGCCCAAAGGUUCCCUCAGAAUGGUUGGAAACCAUUCGAAGAGUGCAAAGGCAGAAGGGAGCUUGACUGUGACACCGACGGGUGGAGCAGGUACGAAAGUAGGGCUUAGUGAUCCGGUGGAAUUUAAGUGGGAAUGCCAUCGCUCAACGGAUAAAAGCUACCCUGGGAUAACAGGCUGAUCACUCCCAAGAGUUCACAUCGACGGAGUGGUUUGGCACCUCGAUGUCGGCUCAUCGCAUCCUGGGGCUGAAGUCGGUCCCAAGGGUUGGGCUGUUCGCCCAUUAAAGCGGUACGCGAGCUGGGUUCGGAACGUCGUGAGACAGUUCGGUCCCUAUCCGGCGUGGGCGUAGGAUAUCUGAGAGGAGCUGUCCUUAGUACGAGAGGACCGGGAUGGACUGACCUCUGGUGUACCGGUUGGCGAUCAACGCCACGGCCGGGUAGCCAUGUCGGGACGGGAUAAACGCUGAAGGCAUCUAAGCGUGAAGCCCCCCUCAAGAUGAGAUAUCCCAUCGUAAGAGUAAGACCCCUUGAAGACGACGAGGUUGAUAGGGCAGGGGUGGAAGUGCUGUAAGGCAUGGAGCUGACUGCUACUAAUCGGUCGAGGGCUUGACCA